rnacentral:rRNA from 1 species
UAUGUAGGGACCAAGCGUUGUCCGGAAUCAUUGGGCGUAAAGCGCGCGUAGGUGGCUUCGUAAGUCCGUUGUGAAAGUCAAAGGCUCAACCUUUGAAAGCCGAUGGAUACUGUGAAGCUAGAGUACGGAAGAGGCGAGUGGAAUUCCUGGUGUAGCGGUGGAAUGCGCAGAUAUCAGGAGGAACACCAAUAGCGAAGGCAGCUCGCUGGGACGUUACUGACACUGAGGCGCGAAAGCGUGGGGAGCGAACAGG